CCUGGAUGUUAGCGGCGGACGGGUGAGUAACACGUGGGUAACCUGCCUGUAAGACUGGGAUAACUCCGGGAAACCGGGGCUAAUACCGGAUGGUUGUUUGAACCGCAUGGUUCAGACAUAAAAGGUGGCUUCGGCUACCACUUACAGAUGGACCCGCGGCGCAUUAGCUAGUUGGUGAGGUAACGGCUCACCAAGGCGACGAUGCGUAGCCGACCUGAGAGGGUGAUCGGCCACACUGGGACUGAGACACGGCCCAGACUCCUACGGGAGGCAGCAGUAGGGAAUCUUCCGCAAUGGACGAAAGUCUGACGGAGCAACGCCGCGUGAGUGAUGAAGGUUUUCGGAUCGUAAAGCUCUGUUGUUAGGGAAGAACAAGUGCCGUUCAAAUAGGGCGGCACCUUGACGGUACCUAACCAGAAAGCCACGGCUAACUACGUGCCAGCAGCCGCGGUAAUACGUAGGUGGCAAGCGUUGUCCGGAAUUAUUGGGCGUAAAGGGCUCGCAGGCGGUUUCUUAAGUCUGAUGUGAAAGCCCCCGGCUCAACCGGGGAGGGUCAUUGGAAACUGGGGAACUUGAGUGCAGAAGAGGAGAGUGGAAUUCCACGUGUAGCGGUGAAAUGCGUAGAGAUGUGGAGGAACACCAGUGGCGAAGGCGACUCUCUGGUCUGUAACUGACGCUGAGGAGCGAAAGCGUGGGGAGCGAACAGGAUUAGAUACCCUGGUAGUCCACGCCGUAAACGAUGAGUGCUAAGUGUUAGGGGGUUUCCGCCCCUUAGUGCUGCAGCUAACGCAUUAAGCACUCCGCCUGGGGAGUACGGUCGCAAGACUGAAACUCAAAGGAAUUGACGGGGGCCCGCACAAGCGGUGGAGCAUGUGGUUUAAUUCGAAGCAACGCGAAGAACCUUACCAGGUCUUGACAUCCUCUGACAAUCCUAGAGAUAGGACGUCCCCUUCGGGGGCAGAGUGACAGGUGGUGCAUGGUUGUCGUCAGCUCGUGUCGUGAGAUGUUGGGUUAAGUCCCGCAACGAGCGCAACCCUUGAUCUUAGUUGCCAGCAUUCAGUUGGGCACUCUAAGGUGACUGCCGGUGACAAACCGGAGGAAGGUGGGGAUGACGUCAAAUCAUCAUGCCCCUUAUGACCUGGGCUACACACGUGCUACAAUGGACAGAACAAAGGGCAGCGAAACCGCGAGGUUAAGCCAAUCCCACAAAUCUGUUCUCAGUUCGGAUCGCAGUCUGCAACUCGACUGCGUGAAGCUGGAAUCGCUAGUAAUCGCGGAUCAGCAUGCCGCGGUGAAUACGUUACCGGUCCAGGUUCACCCCGGCUCACUCAGUCGUGACAAGGUAACCAUAGAGUUUGAUCCUGGCUCAGUAAGUCGUAACAAGGUAACCAUAGAGGAGCCG
rnacentral:rRNA from 1 species